GACGAACGCUGGCGGCGUGCUUAACACAUGCCAGUCGAACGGAAAGGCCCUGCUUUUGUGGGGUGCUCGAGUGGCGAACGGGUGAGUAACACGUGAGUAACCUGCCCUUGACUUUGGGAUAACUUCAGGAAACUGGGGCUAAUACCGGAUAGGAGCUCCUGCUGCAUGGUGGGGGUUGGAAAGUUUCGGCGGUUGGGGAUGGACUCGCGGCUUAUCAGCUUGUUGGUGGGGUAGUGGCUUACCAAGGCUUUGACGGGUAGCCGGCCUGAGAGGGUGACCGGCCACAUAGGGACUGAGAUACGGCCCAGACUCCUACGGGAGGCAGCAGUGGGAAUAUUGCACAAUGGGCGGAAGCCUGAUGCAGCAACGCCGCGUGCGGGAUGACGGCCUUCGGGUUGUAAACCGCUUUCGCCUGUGACGAAGCGUGAGUGACGGUAAUGGGUAAAGAAGCACCGGCUAACUACGUG
rnacentral:rRNA from 1 species